GGUGUGAGCUGGGGGAAGACUGAAGGAAGAUGGGAAGUGAAGCAGGGAAGGAGAGAAAGAAACACAGGUUGGUGCAUGAUUGAGCUGGUCAUAGCUCAGAGCGAAGCACACCAGGUCACUCAGCCAUGCAACAUCUUCAGAGAAGCCAGGACUAGAAGAAGAAGAAAGAGGCAUCUCCUGGUGAUUUUCCAUCAUCUGUCUUUCACUGGUCCAAACUGACCCUACGGGCCUUAACUCCCCUGGAAGUGUGGUCCCUUCAGACAGCUUCUGGGAAGCCACAUCCCAGGGCACAGUGCUUUAUCUGGAUCUAGAAAGAGUGAGAUGAGCCAGAGCCUCUGCAUGGCUACUUGGGUUGGACCAGGACACCAGAGUUGCUGUGGUUCCAUGGAGGGUAAGACGCCAGGCCUAGGGGCAGACAUCACCCGGUGGGAGGUGGAGCCUGUAGCAGUUAGAAGAUGAGCUGGCAUGGGGCCUGGGCUCCCCUGAGCAAGUAAGUGAGGCUGGGGGUGUCACUGGGGGUGCAACCAGUGGAGCUAAGUCAACCCGGAGAGGUCUGUGAGUUAACUACAAGCUCCAGGGAGAGUUUGCAUCUGCGAACUCCUCUCAUCUCUGACGCAGUCCUGGGCUGUCAACAGGAUGUAAAAUCUGAAGCCCUGGAUUUCAGAUGUGGGAAGUCCGGUCUUCUCCAAGUGACCCAUCCAGGAUCACAGAUCAACCAAGGGUGGGUCUUCAGACUCUGAGCCCAGUGCUCUUUCCACUGUGCUACGUGGUUGCAAAACAUUCUCAGAUUUCCAUUUCUGGGACUGUGUUUGGUUUGGAGGCACCUGCUGAAAGACAGAGCAGCACGUCCCGAGUCUUGUUUCCUAUUUUCAGCGACUUCGGGGCAGUGGAGCAGCAGCAGAUCCAGAUAUUCGAUAAAUGUGACGGUGGUGACGAUGACGGCAAUGACCACAAAGACAAUGGCCUCCUGGGAAGCUGAGCUCCUUAGGUCUUCGUCUGUGAGUGGAGUGGGCGGUAACUCACAGGAGUUAAGAAUGUGUUGUCUGUGGAGUCAUAAAAACCCGGGUUUGAAUCUCAACUAUUAGCAGCUCCUUGAGCAAAAUCCUUUCUUCUCUGUGCCUCAGUUGCUUUAAAACUGUAAAACUGUAAAACUGUAAACCUGUAAAACUGAGUUUGACUAUGUCUUUUUGAGGAAGUAAGGUAACACCUGUGAGAUGGAUUGCUUGCAAAAAUGACCCAAUUUUUCACACCCUGCCAUAUCCGUGCCCCUUUGCCAUGCUUCCUGUCAAGGGGCAGAGUCACUUCCUUCCUUUCUUCGCUGCCUUCAAUGCUGAUGGCCUUGUAACUCGAUGUGGCCAACUGACUAUCCCUGCUCACUUUGAGUAAGUAUCUCUUCUUAUUCUGGGACCUCACCACCACCCUAUGAAGAGGCUCAAUCUUACCUGAAGGAUGAAGACACAUUAAUCAGUCAUCCCCCUUGACCCAGCCGACAGUCAAUCAAUCCCCAGAAGCAGAGGCAGCCUGCUGGCCCACAGCUAACCACAGACAUGUUGGACAGUCAACACCAGAAGAACUGCCCCACUGAACCAAACUUGUACUGCCGAUCCACAAAAUUGUGACCAAAAUAAACGGUUGUGAUUAUAAAUCACUGUCUUAGGCUGUUAAGUUCCACGGCAACAGCUAACCAACACAGCUUGGCCUAAUUAAUGGAACCCAUGAUGAAGAUGAUAAUGAUGGUGAUGAUGAUGACAACAGUGCCCAUGCUUUGGCCUCUGCUGGGAAUAUAAGAAAAGGUUGUCUCAUCCCUAAAGGAGCUCCUAAGACUACGCUAUUUAAAGGAAAAGAAAGACAGCAGACAGUGACUUCCAACAAACUCCCAGUCACCUGCUUGUUCUUCGAAGUCUUGACCAACUAUUAUGACCUCACGCCCCUGCUAAGGAAAUUUGACUUUGCCUCCACAGUGAAGAGUUAUUGGCAGGUUCUAAGGCUGGGAAUGGUGGGAUAAGAGAUGCCUUAGAAAGACCCUGCAGAGAAAGGGUCAGAGGAAGAGCCUGCCUGUGGGAGGUCUUGUGUGGUGGUCGAGGGGAGCAGUGACACCAGCCUUCUGCUCCUACCCGCCAUGGCUCCCCAGGGCUCUAAGAAUAAACUCUAGACUCCACAGGGCCUGGGGUGACUGGCCCUCUACCCCUUUGAACCACUCUUUCACGUUCUCACUCUGCUCAGCCCAUCCUGUCCCUCUUAGCUCCUCUCUGUGCCCUGAUUCCUCUUCCCUUGGUGCCUUUGCACGUGCUGUUCCAUUGCCUCCCCUCCCUUCUUGUGCUCAUCCUUCAGAUCUCCAUAGCUGAGAUGUCACUGGACCCUUCAUCUAAGUCAAGUCACCCUGAUAUGCCCACUUAAAAUCCCUGUGUCCCUCUUUUGUGGCAGUCACCGUGGUUUAUACUUGCCUAUGUAAUCCAUGAGUGAUGGUUCCUGGGUAUCUGCCCCCACCAGGCUCUGAGCUCCGCUAGGGAGAGGCUGAAUCUGUCCUGCUUGUUGCUGUGCUCAGAGUCUGGCCCGAUGCCUGGAGUGCAUCAGGCAUAAAUGGAGUACUUAUAAAAUGAACAGACUCCCUUGAGUAAAAACGCUUUGGGGCAGAACACCCGUGCAUAUUCAGAAUCUCCCAGUCCUAAAAUCAUGUGGGAGGAGAGAGAGGCCACAAUUCUUAGAGCUCUUCCCUCAGGAGACAAAUCAGUCUCACCCUGGAAGUGUGGCCCAAGACUCUGGCAUCAGUUUUAUAGCUUAAGGACACAUUUAAUCAGGUCAAUAAACAAUCCAUCCCACCAGCCUCGGCAGUUGUGUGGAAGGUCCUUAAGGUGAGAGCAACACCGAGGUAGAACACUGAGUUCCCCAACCCCGAGGACAUGAAAUUCUCCUGCAGGGUUUUCAUCAUGUAGAUGAACUGGGAAUGCUUUCACAAGCCUUGCUUUGCAAACAAGCCUGUGAUCAGAAACAAACAAAUAGCCUCUGUGUGGACAUCUGACAUCUAGGAGACUUCAUCCGGGCAGCUACAGGGAGACAGGCGCAACAGAGAAACACAUGGAGCUGAAAGCAACACGAGACUCUGUGGCCUGACCCCACCGUCCCCAGACAGGCGAGUCACUGACAUCCCUCCCCUUCAUCUUACAGAAUCCUUCUUCUCACUUGGAGCUGCAGGCUUACGUGUAGCACUUGUGGGCUUAUGUCUCCAUCUGUCUAUGUCUCUCACUAGAUCAUAUGCGCCAACAGGGCAAGGACAGCGCUUACUCAGCCAUUGUUUCCUACUCAUAGUUCAGUGCUUGCCAUGGAGCUGGCUCCAUAAAUGUUUGCUGAUUGAAUAAGCAAAGGAGAAAGGCUGAGCCAUAAGAGGAGAUGGAAAGGUCAACCACAUGCAUACACGGAUAAAGCUGAAAGCAUAGCAGGGAAAGGGAGUGCGGUCUGGAGCCUCUGGAUGGAGCCUUCACCACCAGUGGAGUUUUCAUUGGUGUGCUCCAGGGUAUUCCCUUUGUUGGUUAAUCCAGGUCCACACAAAGACUGUUACUUAAAUGUUCUCCAUGUUCAUAAUAAAUAAUAAAUAGCCCCAAACUGGAAACAACCUACAUGUCCAUCAACAGGUGAGGAACAAAGCAAUCAAGAUAUAUUCAUGCAACCAUCCAUGUAACGGAAUACUACUCUGCAACCCAGCCAUGAAGAGAACAAAGUGCUUGUUAAGCACAGAAUGUUCCUGACCCUCCAGAAUGUGAAUAUGAAUGCGAAGCCCUAACCCCAGCACGUCUGUCUUUGGAGAUGGGGCCUCUAAAGACAUAAUUAAGGUUAACUGAGGUCGUAAUAAAGGUUAAGUGAAGCUCUAAUUCAAUAGGAUUGGUGUCCUUAUAGAGAAAACACCAGAAAGCACCCUCCUCCCCCACUCCUCUCCCUCCCUCCGCUCGCCCCUCCCCCUCACUCCCUGAACACACUGAGAAGAGGCCAGGUGAAGACGUAGCGAGAAGGUGGCUGUCUGCAAGUCGAGAAAAGAGCCCUCAACAAACCCGAUUGGCUGGCACCUUGAUCGUGGACUUCAGCCUCUGGAACUGUGAGGAAAUGAAUUUCUGCCAUUUAAGCCCCCCAGUCGGUGGUGUUUGUUAUGAAACCCCAAGCUGACUAAGGCACUGCAGAUACACACCACAAUAUAGCAUGCUGAGCCUCACCAGCCUGAGUUAGAGGCCCACGUGCGGCGUUAGUUCACUUAAAUAAGGUCUGUGAGCUUAAGCUUGUCCAGCCCACCUUAUUGUUGUUGCUGCU
rnacentral:lncRNA from 1 species